rnacentral:rRNA from 1 species
CCUACGGGAGGCAGCAGUGGGGAAUAUUGGACAAUGGGCGCAAGCCUGAUCCAGCCAUGCCGCGUGUGUGAAGAAGGCCUUAGGGUUGUAAAGCACUUUCAGGAGUGAGGAAGGGCGUAUAGUUAAUACCUGUAUGUUUUGACGUUAACUCCAGAAGAAGCACCGGCUAACUCUGUGCCAGCAGCCGCGGUAAU